rnacentral:tRNA from 1 species
GGUUAAGUAUUUUAUAAUUAGAAAGUAUAUUUUGCAAGUAUAAAGAAAACCAAAAGGUUUUUUAACCA